AGGGGAGACUGCGACCUGAACGCAGCGCCUUAGACCGCUCGGCCAUCCUGACUGAUACUCAUUCUUCUCGUAUCUCCCAUGAUACCUUGCGCGCAUAGUAAGACUAACUUCCGAUAUAAGAACCUUAUCGUGCAUUCAGGCAGAUGGGAAUUUAGAAAGUUCCCUUUUCUAACGUGUCACUUCAAAGUUGAGAGCGUUCACAUAAUGACAACAAACAAACAACGCUAAUGAUAGUUAAGUAGGCUAACCAGCCAGAAGGUCAACAUUACGUUAGUUACACAUAAGUAAUCUGCUAGGUAUGUCUUUUAACGUCACAACCUGCGCAGAGCAAGUCCAUUUUUUUUUAAUCUUUCACUACAAACGUUGCCAUGUCGAAAGAAGUCAGACCUAAGUUAGUUCUUGGAGUUCUUAUAACUCCACUUUCCCAGGGGGAUGUUCCGCGUUUAGCAGGCGUUCAGGUGUAGUCUCCCAUUCGGUGGUCGGAGCUUUCCCAACUCCAAGUUGCUCGUGAACAUACCAUUAAGCUAGCAAAUACAGUGGAAUAGACUUCUGCCAAGUCUUCGUAGCUAACUAUUUAAUAAGUCACAUACAAAUAAAUAACAAUGCACAACGUUUUAAAACGAAUGCGUUGCAACACAACCUCGAACAUUUAAAGAUUGGAAGACAUACGGCAGAGCACCAAGUAACGUAGCUUAGUACCUGAUCAUAGCGACGUCUAGUAAAUGGACAAUUCACCAACUUAUUCAAUGCUUACUGUCAAUAACUUACCUCCAAAGAAGUAAAGUCGAAUGUACACUGUUAAGGAGUAUUUUAUCUCUGUUUUGCACUUCGGACAAAGAGAGCCAAGUCAGAGCAUGAGGUGAGUGCCACAUCAUCCUCGUAUUAACCCUAGCAUCCAUGACCGCUGCAUGCACACACAUAACUGCCAGUACAAACGGCGCAUGCAUUUGUAGCGUGAAAGGAUAUUAGGGCUUUAUAGGUGAUGCUUCCAACUACAUGUCACAAUACCUCGGGUUUCACUUAAGGUAUCUAGAUAGAGUUGAACUCUGUUAAAGUAAGUAACUCUCUCACAAGACAAGCAACCCUUCAAAUCUGCUUUUAUCCUUUAAAAUGGACAUAUCAGUUUUAAAGAUGCAAAAUAUAGCCUC
ensembl:lncRNA